rnacentral:rRNA from 1 species
UACGAGGGGGGCGAGCGUUGUCCGGAAUCAUUGGGCGUAAAGCGCGUGUAGGCGGCUUGGUAAGUCUGCUCUGAAAGCCCGGGGCUCAACCCCGGGAGGCGGGUGGAUACUGUCAAGCUCGAGUCCGGAAGAGGAGUGUGGAAUUCCUGGUGUAGCGGUGAAAUGCGCAGAUAUCAGGAGGAACACCAAUGGCGAAGGCAGCACUCUGGGCAUUAACUGACGCUGAGGAGCGAAAGCAUGGGGAGCGAACAGG